GCCAAAUUCCACAGGCUCUGCAGAUGCCUGUGGCUGGGGGCUGUCACCAUGGAUAGCAGAGGUGUGGAACGCUGCAUCAUCUUAAACCUGGCACUGGCACAAAGGGAAAUACUUGGUGGGAAGGUAACCAGGCCAGGACAGGAGCCAGCCAAGCACUGAAAACAAUCCAAAACUGCUUCAGAUCUGCCCUGGGAUCUGAAUUGCCUUCAUCCAGCUACCUGGCAUACUCUCCUUGUGAUUUAUGGAUGAGACUCUUGGAGAAUUGUCUUCCAAAACCAGAUUACACCAUCAAAGCAGUCAGCAUCUUUACAUGCAGAAGGACUAAAGGAGCUGUCUGUACUUCCAUGGAAGACAAUUAUAUUUGAAUUCCAUUGCAGCUGCCACAGUCUGGAACCCUCCAGAACAUUUCUCUGUGGGAAGACAAGGAGGCUGACCUGAGGAUGUCAUUUCAGUCUCCUGUCAGCUUCCAAGGAACACUGCCAGAAACAAAAUAACUUAAGAAGACAGAGGGAAUCGAGUAAUUUGCAUCUCUGCCUCUUAUUUUUUCUUUCUCAUCUCAGUGGCUUUCCACACUUGGGAGGGGGUCACUCUGGUGACCCUGAUUUGCAAUUUCCAAGUCACUGCCAUUUUCACUAAUGUGAGGUGCCUUCAUCACCAAUGGACAAGCCAGGAAACAGGCUCACGAAGAUGUUACUAAAGGACAGAUCUCUGAUGCAUGAAUCAGCUACACAUAAAAAUUAUAACUUUUAACCACUUUGGAGUGAUCAGCACACCCCAAAGACUGUUUGUGCCAUAGGACUUAGUUAGGGUUUUAUUGCUGUGAAGAGGCACUGUGACCAUGGCCUCUUAUAAAGGACAUUUGAUUGGGAUUGGCUUAUAGUUGAGAGGGUUAUCCAUUAUCCUCAUGAUGGGAAGUAUGAUGGCAUGCUGGCAGACAUGGUGCUGAAAAGGGAGCUAAGAGUUCUACUGGGCAGGGCUUCAAAGCCUGUCACCAGUGACCAUUUUCUCCAAUAAACUCACACCAACUUCAACAAGGCCACACCUCCUAACAGUGCCACUCCUCAGGACCUAUGGGGGUCAUUUUCUUUCAAACUACCAUACCAUGUGUGGAAUGUUCUUUCAGUUGUUCAGUAUCUCAGUUUUCCCCAUCUUACUUUUCCACAUCCCAAAUUCUCAUGGUGGCCAACAA